CAUAAGCGCACUUGAACGAUACACUUUGUUGAUAAUUGAUACAUGCAUGUUUGAAAUAUAAUACAAAAGCUGAUAAGUAUAAGCACGGUGAGGAUAUGUACACCGGAUAUUGCCAUUUAGUGAAAAGAUAUUUUCCGGAAACGUGUUUAUUUUUCGUCAACAAGACAUGGGCUCUGCUAGUAGCAGUUUGGAUUCCAUAGGACCAAGUAACUUAAAGAAGAUUUUGUCGAUAGGAAAGGAAGAAAUAGUAGAAGUGUAUGCAUAUAAAACUCCGCUUUCAGACUGGCAGAUUACUGACUUCAUCAUUCAUCAUCAAUUUAUAGUCCUCAGAACAAAUAAGAAUAACUGGUUUACAAUUGAAAAGAAUACCAAAGGUGUACUGACACAGAAACACCAAAGCUUGGAAGAAAUAAAGAGAAAAAGAAGUCACAGACUAACCCUUAUAAAGAAAGACCGUGUUCGUGAAACUCUGUAUCAAUUUCGGAAAUGGCUUUCCGACAUCUCCGUUGAAAGAAAUGCUGAUUAUCAUGUUUUAACUAAUAAUUGCAAGGCUUUUGCGAAAGAGACGUAUAAUCAUUUUGUCAUCUCUACAGACUUGUAAAGUGUUUUUUAUUACUUUCAAAACUGGUUAUAGAGAUAGUAGUUAAAACUUCAAAUUCGUUUUUACAGGAUUAUUUUUCAUUGUGAAAUGAUAGUAAAGUGAACCAACUUACUAAA